GAUGAACGCUGGCGGCGUGCUUAACACAUGCAAGUCGAACGGAAAGGCCCUGCUUUUGUGGGGUGCUCGAGUGGCGAACGGGUGAGUAACACGUGAGUAACCUGCCCUUGACUUUGGGAUAACUUCAGGAAACUGGGGCUAAUACCGGAUAGGAGCUCCUGCUGCAUGGUGGGGGUUGGAAAGUUUCGGCGGUUGGGGAUGGACUCGCGGCUUAUCAGCUUGUUGGUGGGGUAGUGGCUUACCAAGGCUUUGACGGGUAGCCGGCCUGAGAGGGUGACCGGCCACAUUGGGACUGAGAUACGGCCCAGACUCCUACGGGAGGCAGCAGUGGGGAAUAUUGCACAAUGGGCGGAAGCCUGAUGCAGCAACGCCGCGUGCGGGAUGACGGCCUUCGGGUUGUAAACCGCUUUCGCCUGUGACGAAGCGUGAGUGACGGUAAUGGGUAAAGAAGCUCCGGCUAACUACGUG
rnacentral:rRNA from 1 species